rnacentral:rRNA from 1 species
UACGUAGGGGGCUAGCGUUGUCCGGAAUCAUUGGGCGUAAAGCGCGCGUAGGCGGCCAGAUUAGUCCGGUGUGAAAGUCAGAGGCUCAACCUUUGAAUGCCGCUGGAAACUGUCUGGCUUGAGUCCGGAAGGGGCGAGUGGAAUUCCUGGUGUAGCGGUGAAAUGCGCAGAUAUCAGGAGGAACACCAAUGGCGAAGGCAGCUCGCUGGAACGGUACUGACGCUGAGGCGCGAAAGUGUGGGGAGCGGACAGG